AUGCCAUUAUAUUAUCAUUCUUGGAUGUUUUUAAAAUCAUUUUAUAAUAACUUUAUAUCAUUUUUUGGGACUAACCUGUUGAUCCAGUGCCCAGUGCCAGUUGCUGUUUUUUGCUUGUUUUUUACAUCGCAGGAAAUCAAUAUCAAACGGAGUCCAAAUGCAAUGAAACUCCUGGAGGUUUUUUUGGACCAGAAGAAAGCCAGUGGGCCAAGGAAGCAUCUGGGGGGGCUGCUCGAGGGGAGCAGCACCCACCAGGCCGCCAAGAGGCCCAGGCGCACCCUGGUGGGUCCUGCCCACAUCGGGGGCUCCCUGAACCGCCUCUUCGCCCUAUAA
rnacentral:rRNA from 1 species